rnacentral:rRNA from 1 species
UACGGGGGGGGCAAGUGUUGUUCGGAAUUACUGGGCGUAAAGGGCUCGUAGGCGGCCAACUAAGUCAGACGUGAAAUCCCUCGGCUUAACCGGGGAACUGCGUCUGAUACUGGAUGGCUUGAGUUCGGGAGAGGGAUGCGGAAUUCCAGGUGUAGCGGUGAAAUGCGUAGAUAUCUGGAGGAACACCGGUGGCGAAGGCGGCAUCCUGGACCGACACUGACGCUGAGGAGCGAAAGCCAGGGGAGCAAACGGG